UACGGAGGGGGCGAGCGUUGUUCGGAAUUACUGGGCGUAAAGAGCGCGCUGGCGGCCAAGUCAGUCGAAUGUGAAAGCCCCCGGCUUAACUGGGGAGGGUCAUUCGAUACUGCUCGGCUCGAAGACAGGAGAGGGAGGUGGAAUUCCACGUGUAGCGGUGAAAUGCGUAGAGAUGUGGAGGAACACCGAUGGCGAAGGCAGCCUCCUGGGCCAACACUGACGCUCAUGCACGAAAGCGUGGGGAGCAAACAGG
rnacentral:rRNA from 1 species